rnacentral:rRNA from 1 species
GACGAACCGUCCAACGUUAUUCGGAAUCACUGGGCUUACAGAGUUCGUAGGCGGUCUGGAAAGUUGGGUGUGAAAUCCCUCGGCUCAACCGAGGAACUGCGCUUGAAACUACCAGACUCGAGGGAGAUAGAGGAAAGCGGAACUGAUGGUGGAGCGGUGAAAUGCGUUGAUAUCAUCAGGAACACCGGUGGCGAAGGCGGCUUCUGGGUCUUACCUGACGCUGAGGAACGAAAGCCAGGGGAGGCGAAACGG